GAUGAACGCUGGCGGCGUGCCUAAUACAUGCAAGUCGAGCGAACAGACGAGGAGCUUGCUCCUCUGACGUUAGCGGCGGACGGGUGAGUAACACGUGGAUAACCUACCUAUAAGACUGGGAUAACUUCGGGAAACCGGAGCUAAUACCGGAUAAUAUAUUGAACCGCAUGGUUCAAUAGUGAAAGACGGUUUUGCUGUCACUUAUAGAUGGAUCCGCGCCGCAUUAGCUAGUUGGUAAGGUAACGGCUUACCAAGGCAACGAUGCGUAGCCGACCUGAGAGGAGGAGCGGUCACAGUGGAACUGAGACACGGUCCAGACUGCGACGGGAGGCAGCAGUGGGGAAGAGUGGAAAAUGGGCGAAAGACUGAUACAGCCAUGCAGCGUGUGAGAAGAAGGUCUUCGGAAUGUAAAGCACUGUAAGUUGGGAGGAAGGGCAGUAAGUGAAUACAUUGCUGUUUUGACGUUACCAAAAGAAUAAGCACCGGCAAACUUCGUG
rnacentral:rRNA from 1 species